rnacentral:rRNA from 1 species
GAUGAACGCUGGCGGCGUGCCUAAUACAUGCAAGUCGAGCGAACGGACGAGAAGCUUGCUUCUCUGAUGUUAGCGGCGGACAGGUGAGUAACACGUGGAUAACCUACCUAUAAGACUGGGAUAACUUCGGGAAACCGGAGCUAAUACCGGAUGAUAUUUUGAACCGCAUGGUUCAAAAGUGAAAGACGGUCUUGCUGUCACUUAUAGAUGGAUCCGCGCUGCAUUAGCUAGUUGGUAAGGUAAAGGCUUACCAAGGCAACGAUGCAUAGCCGACCUGAGAGGGUGAUCGGCCACACUGGAACUGAGACACGGUCCAGACUCCUACGGGAGGCAGCAGUAGGGAAUCUUCCGCAAUGGGCGAAAGCCUGACGGAGCAACGCCGCGUGAGUGAUGAAGGUCUUCGGAUCGUAAAACUCUGUUAUUAGGGAAGAACAUAUGUGUAAGUAACUGUGCACAUCUUGACGGUACCUAAUCAGAAAGCCACGGCUAACUACGUG